GAUCAAGCGCAAAAAGGGCAUUUGGUGGAUGCCUUGGUAUUAGGAGGCGAUGAAGGACGUAGCACGUUGCGAUAAGUCCCGGGGAGUUGCGAGCAGGCAUUGAUCCGGGAAUUUCCGAAUGGGGAAACCCACCCUUUUAGGGUAUCAUGAUCUGAAUACAUAGGGUCAUGAGGCAAACCUGGAGAACUGAAACAUCUAAGUAUCCAGAGGAAAAGACAUCAACCGAGAUUCCGCUAGUAGUGGCGAGCGAACGCGGAGCAGGCCAGUUGCAUUCAUUAUCUAAUUAGAAUAUUCUGGAAAGGAUAGCCAUAGUAGGUGAUAGCCCCGUAUAAGUAUGGGUAAUGAGUGUACAUGAGUAGGGCGGGACACGUGAAAUCCUGUUUGAAGAUGGGGGGACCACCCUCCAAGCCUAAAUACUCCCUAAUGACCGAUAGUGAACAAGUACCGUGAGGGAAAGGUGAAAAGAACCCCAAUGAGGGGAGUGAAAUAGACCUGAAACCAAAUGCCUACAAACAGGGGGAGCGAGUGUUCAGAAUUAAAAAGAGAAGAGAGUUUAUUUAAUGACUUGUCAUUCUUACAACUUGUCCGCCGAAGCACGUAGUGCGUAGGAGAAAGCUUGUCUUUUUGAUUCUGAACACUUGUGACCUCGUACCUUUUGUAUAAUGGGUCAGCGACUUAAUUUAUGCAGCGAGCUUAAGCCGAUAGGUGUAGGCGUAGCGAAAGCGAGUCUGAAUAGGGCGACAUAGUUGCAUGGAUUAGACCCGAAACCCGGUGAUCUAGCCAUGGGCAGGUUGAAGGUGCAGUAACAUGCACUGGAGGACCGAACCCACUAAUGUUGAAAUAUUAGGGGAUGACCUGUGGCUAGGGGUGAAAGGCCAAUCAAACCGGGUAAUAGCUGGUUCUCCGCGAAAACUAUUUAGGUAGUACGUCGUGUGAAUACCUACGGGGGUAGAGCACUGGAUGGGCUAGGGGGAUGCGAAUCUUACCAAACCUAACCAAACUCCGAAUACCGUAGAGUACUGCACGGCCAGACAGUCCAUGGGUGCUAAGGUCCGUGGACGAGAGGGAAAAAGCCCAGACCGCCAGCUAAGGUCCCCAAAUGAUGAUUAAGUGUGAAAGGAAGUGGGAAGGCCAAGACAGCCAGGAGGUUGGCUUAGAAGCAGCCAUCCUUUAAAGAAAGCGUAAUAGCUCACUGGUCUAGUUAAGCCGUCCUGCGCCGAAAAUGUAACGGGGCUAAAAUCAUCUACCGAAGCUGCGGGUGCCAUUCUUAUGAAUGGCGCGGUAGCGGAGCGUUCUGUAAGCCUGUGAAGGGUAACCGUGAGGUUAUCUGGAGGUAUCAGAAGUGAGAAUGCUGACAUGAGUAGCGAUAAAAUAUGUGAGAAACAUAUUCGCCGAAAGCCCAAGGGUUCCUGCGCAAGGUUAAUCCGCGCAGGGUAAGCCGGCCCCUAAGGCGAGGCCGAAAGGCGUAGUCGAUGGGAAUGAGGUUAAUAUUCCUCAGCCAGCAGAAGGUGACGAAGGCCGUAUAUUGUACAUCCUUAUUGGAUUGGGUGUGCAGUGAAGGACUUCCAGGAAAUAACCUCUGCAUUAAUGACCGUACCCCAAACCGACACAGGUGGGCUGGUAGAGUAUACCAAGGCGCUUGAGAGAAUGGUGUUGAAGGAACUCGGCAAAAUGCCUCCGUAACUUCGGAAGAAGGAGGCCCUCUUUUUGCGCAAGCAAUAAGAGGGGGCACAGGCCAGGGGGUAGCGACUGUUUAUUAAAAACACAGGGCUCUGCUAAGUCGUAAGACGAAGUAUAGGGUCUGACGCCUGCCCGGUGCUGGAAGGUUAAGAGGAGGAGUGCAAGCUCUGAAUUGAAGCCCCAGUAAACGGCGGCCGUAACUAUAACGGUCCUAAGGUAGCGAAAUUCCUUGUCGGGUAAGUUCCGACCUGCACGAAUGGCGUAACGAUUUCCCCGCUGUCUCCAACACCAACUCAGCGAAAUUGAACUCUCCGUGAAGAUGCGGAGUUCCCGCGGUUAGACGGAAAGACCCCGUGCACCUUUACUAUAACUUUACAGUGGUAGCAGAAAUGGCAUGUGUAGGAUAGGCGGGAGGCUUUGAAGCCGCGGCGCUAGCCGUGGUGGAGCCACCCUUGAAAUACCGCCCUUGCCCCUUUUGUUAUCUAACCGUGCUCCAUUAUCUGGAGCCGGGACCCUGUAUGGUGGGUAGUUUGACUGGGGCGGUCGCCUCCCAAAGAGUAACGGAGGCGCGCGAUGGUUAGCUCAGGUUGGUCGGAAAUCAACUGAUGAGUGCAAUGGCAUAAGCUAGCCUGACUGCAAGACAGACAAGUCAAGCAGAGACGAAAGUCGGUCAUAGUGAUCCGGUGGCACUGCGUGGAAGGGCCAUCGCUCAACGGAUAAAAGGUACGCCGGGGAUAACAGGCUGAUCUCCCCCAAGAGUCCAUAUCGACGGGGAGGUUUGGCACCUCGAUGUCGACUCGUCACAUCCUGGGGCUGGAGAAGGUCCCAAGGGUUCGGCUGUUCGCCGAUUAAAGUGGUACGUGAGUUGGGUUUAGAACGUCGUGAGACAGUUCGGUUCCUAUCUGCCGCGGGUGUUGGAGUAUUGAGAGGAUCUGUCCCUAGUACGAGAGGACCGGGAUGGACAUACCUCUGGUGUACCGGUUGUCAUGCCAAUGGCACCGCCGGGUAGCUAAGUAUGGAAUAGAUAACCGCUGAAAGCAUCUAAGCGGGAAACUAACCUCAAAACAAGUACUCCCUAUUAAGGUCGUGGAAGACUACCACGUCGAUAGGUCGGGUGUGGAAGUGCAGUAAUGCAUGAAGCUAACCGAUACUAAUAACCUAAUCGGCUUGAUCUC
rnacentral:rRNA from 1 species